CUCUAAACCUACACAUGCAAGUCUCAGCACUCCUGUGAGGACGCCCUUCUUCCUAACCCAGAUUUAGGAGCCGGCAUCAGGCACUAAACUCGCCCACAACGCCUAGUCCCACCACACCUUCAAUGGUUUUCAGCAGUGAUUAAUAUUGUUUAUAAGUGUUAACUUGAACCAGUUAUAGAGAAGAGAGCUGGCCAAUUCGGUGCCAGCCGCCGCGGCUAAACCGCACGAGCUCAAGUUGAUAACUUUCGGCGUUAAGCGUGAUUAAAGAUUUUUUAUUAAUUAGAGCCAAACCUAAACUCAGCUGUAAUAAGCUCGUUGUUGAGAAAAACAAGUACGAAAGUUGCUCUAAUAAACUUGAAUACACGACAGUCGGGAAACAAACUGGGAUUAGAUACCCCACUAUGCCCCACCGUAAAAUAUAUACUUACAAAACUAACGCCAGGGUAUUACGAGCCUUAGCUUAAAACCCAAAGGACUUGACGGUGUCCCAUCCAACUAGAGGAGCCUGUUCUAUAAUCGAUAACCCCCGAUAUACCUAACCCCCCCUUGCCAAUCAGCCUGUAUACCUCCGUCGUAAACUCACCAUAUGAAUGCUAACAGUAAGUUUAAUGAUUUAUCAUCAAUACGUCAGGUCAAGGUGCAGCUCAUGAUGGGGAAGCAAUGGGCUACAAUUUCUAAAAUAGAACCACGGAAUGCUCCAUGAAACACAGCAUGAAGGCGGAUUUAGUAGUAAAAAGUAAAUAAAGUGUUCUUUUUAAUAAGGCCCUGGGACGUGUACACACCGCCCGUCACCCUCUUCAAUAGCACAUAGUAUGUUUUUAACAAGUUCUGCACUCCAGAAGAGGCAAGUCGUAACAUGGUAAGUGUACCGGAAGGUGCACUUGGAUUAC
rnacentral:ncRNA from 1 species